CAGCCGCCGCGGUAAUACGAAGGUCCCGAGCGUUGUUCGGAAUUACUGGGUGUAAAGGGAGCGUAGGCGGCGUGGUAAGUCAGAUGUGAAAUCCCGGGGCUCAACCCCGGAACUGCAUCCGAUACUGCCAUGCUAGCGGAUUGGAGAGGUAGCUGGAAUUCUUGGUGUAGCAGUGAAAUGCGUGGAGAUCAAGAGGAACACUCGUGGCGAAAGCGAGCUACUGGACAAUAACUGACGCUGAGGCUCGAAGGCCAGGGUAGCGAAAGGGAUUAGAUACCCGCGUAGUCCCUGUCUCUUAUAC
rnacentral:rRNA from 1 species